UUGUGGAGACGAAGUCAACGCGUGGGGCAUUGAUGGGAGAUAGGCCGCUUUGUUAAAUCAUGACUCAAGGAGCUGUUUGCGCGCAGGAAAUGGAGUGGCACCCAAGUGAAGAUGGCCUGAAGCAGAUAUUGCAGUUGUUGAAGGAAUCCCAGUCUCCUAAUACGGAAACGCAGACGGCUGUGCAACAUAGACUUGAAGAGCUUAACAAGUACCCAGACUUCAACAACUUCUUGGUAUUCGUUCUCACAAAGCUGAAGACUGAGGAUGAAGCUACUCGGUCACUCAGUGGGCUGAUACUCAAGAACAACGUUCGGACAUACUUUCAGAAGCUGCCACCUCAGGUGGCCAACUUUAUCAAGCAGGAAUGCUUGAACGCAAUAGGAGACCCUUCGCCCCUUAUCAGGGCCACCAUAGGUAAGUGGCUUCAUUACAAA